UACGUAGGGGGCUAGCGUUGUCCGGAAUCAUUGGGCGUAAAGCGCGUGUAGGCGGUCCGGUAAGUCCGCUGUGAAAGUCGGGGGGCUCAACCUCGGAUGCCGGUGGAUACUGUCGGGCUUGAGUACGGAAGAGGCGAGUGGAAUUCCUGGUGUAGCGGUGAAAUGCGCAGAUAUCAGGAGGAACACCAGUGGCGAAGGCAGGCUCGU
rnacentral:rRNA from 1 species